AGCAGCCGCGGUAAUUCCAGCUCCAAUAGCGUAUAUUAAAGUUGUUGCAGUUAAAAAGCUCGUAGUUGAGUUUCGGGGUCAGUAGGUUGGUCAUGCCACCGGUAUGUACUGGACUCACUGAUUCCUCCUUCCUGAUGAACUGUGAUGCCAUUAAUUUGGUGUUGCAGGGAAUCUGGACUGUUACUUUGAAAAAUUAGAGUGUUUAAAGCAGGCUAACGCCUGAAUACAUUAGCAUGGAAUAAUGAAAUAGGACGUUCGAUCCUAUUUUGUUGGUUUCUAGGAUUGACGUAAUGGUUAAUAGGGAUAGUUGGGGGCAUUAGUAUUCAAUUGUCAGAGGUGAAAUUCUUGGAUUUAUUGAAGACUAACUACUGCGAAAGCAUUUGCCAAGGAUGUUUUCAUUAAUCAAGAACGAAAGUUAGGGAAUCGAAGACGAUCAGAUACCGUCGUAGU
rnacentral:rRNA from 1 species